rnacentral:rRNA from 1 species
UACGUAGGGGCCUAGCGUUGUCCGGAUUUAUUGGGCGUAAAGAGCUCGUAGGCGGUUUGGUGAGUCGGGUGUGAAAUCUCCACGCUCAACGUGGAGGAGCCACCCGAUACUGCCAUGACUGGAGUCCGGUAGGGGAGUGUGGAAUUCCCGGUGUAGCGGUGAAAUGCGUAGAGAUCGGAAAGAACACCAACGGCGAAAGCACUCUGCUGGGCCGGCACUGACACUGAGAGACGAAAGCUAGGGGAGCGAAUGGG